rnacentral:rRNA from 1 species
AGAGUUUGAUCAUGGCUCAGAUUGAACGCUGGCGGCAGGCCUAACACAUGCAAGUCGAACGGUAACAGGAAGCAGCUUGCUGCUUCGCUGACGAGUGGCGGACGGGUGAGUAAUGUCUGGGAAGCUGCCUGAUGGAGGGGGAUAACUACUGGAAACGGUAGCUAAUACCGCAUAAUGUCGCAAGACCAAAGAGGGGGACCUUCGGGCCUCUUGCCAUCGGAUGUGCCCAGAUGGGAUUAGCUUGUUGGUGGGGUAACGGCUCACCAAGGCGACGAUCCCUAGCUGGUCUGAGAGGAUGACCAGCCACACUGGAACUGAGACACGGUCCAGACUCCUACGGGAGGCAGCAGUGGGGAAUAUUGCACAAUGGGCGCAAGCCUGAUGCAGCCAUGCCGCGUGUAUGAAGAAGGCCUUCGGGUUGUAAAGUACUUUCAGCGGGGAGGAAGGGAGUAAAGUUAAUACCUUUGCUCAUUGACGUUACCCGCAGAAGAAGCACCGGCUAACUCCGUGCCAGCAGCCGCGGUAAUACGGAGGGUGCAAGCGUUAAUCGGAAUUACUGGGCGUAAAGCGCACGCAGGCGGUUUGUUAAGUCAGAUGUGAAAUCCCCGGGCUCAACCUGGGAACUGCAUCUGAUACUGGCAAGCUUGAGUCUCGUAGAGGGGGGUAGAAUUCCAGGUGUAGCGGUGAAAUGCGUAGAGAUCUGGAGGAAUACCGGUGGCGAAGGCGGCCCCCUGGACGAAGACUGACGCUCAGGUGCGAAAGCGUGGGGAGCAAACAGGAUUAGAUACCCUGGUAGUCCACGCCGUAAACGAUGUCGACUUGGAGGUUGUGCCCUUGAGGCGUGGCUUCCGGAGCUAACGCGUUAAGUCGACCGCCUGGGGAGUACGGCCGCAAGGUUAAAACUCAAAUGAAUUGACGGGGGCCCGCACAAGCGGUGGAGCAUGUGGUUUAAUUCGAUGCAACGCGAAGAACCUUACCUGGUCUUGACAUCCACGGAAGUUUUCAGAGAUGAGAAUGUGCCUUCGGGAACCGUGAGACAGGUGCUGCAUGGCUGUCGUUAGCUCGUGUUGUGAAAUGUUGGGUUAAGUCCCGCAACGAGCGCAACCCUUAUCCUUUGUUGCCAGCGGUCCGGCCGGGAACUCAAAGGAGACUGCCAGUGAUAAACUGGAGGAAGGUGGGGAUGACGUCAAGUCAUCAUGGCCCUUACGACCAGGGCUACACACGUGCUACAAUGGCGCAUACAAAGAGAAGCGACCUCGCGAGAGCAAGCGGACCUCAUAAAGUGCGUCGUAGUCCGGAUUGGAGUCUGCAACUCGACUCCAUGAAGUCGGAAUCGCUAGUAAUCGUGGAUCAGAAUGCCACGGUGAAUACGUUCCCGGGCCUUGUACACACCGCCCGUCACACCAUGGGAGUGGGUUGCAAAAGAAGUAGGUAGCUUAACCUUCGGGAGGGCGCUUACCACUUUGUGAUUCAUGACUGGGGUGAAGUCGUAACAAGGUA